rnacentral:lncRNA from 1 species
AAGAAAAAUCUCAUGCACGAGUAUGACCUCCAUUGAUGAACUAUAUAGCAUAAUUCCCAACUAAAUAACAGAAAUUAUAAGAAAUGAAUGCAUUAUGUCCAGCUAGUAGUGACAACUGAAACAUCUUUGAUAAUGAACAUAGUCAUCUCAAUCAACUAAAGGCGAAUGAUCAGUUUUCAUUUCUAUUAUCAGCUCUAAUUUUCAUUUUGAGGCAGUCACAUGACAACACUCAUUCUAGCGUCGACUUGUUCUAUUCAAAGGAAAAAGUCUUAGACGCCAAUAUUUUCGGUGGGAACGUAAAACAGCAUAAUAGAAAUAUGGCUUCUAGCAAACAAUAAAAUUGAGAAAGAAGCACAGGAAUCGAAGUGCAUUUUGUCCCAUACCAUCCUUCGGGAAUAAAAAGAGCGUCGCCAGGCUCAAGAAUGAUCUUUUCAGAAUAUUCCUGAGAGUGUUUAGCUCUAUAAUGAACUGAAUAGUCGGGGUUCUCUAUGUUAACUGCGCUGCCAUAUUACAACAGAAGCUACAAACAUAUUAAUAUUUCAAAAAUUAUUUGAAAAUCUAAUCUAUCAGCAAUUAAAGAAACAAAAGACACAAAAUAACUGAAAAUUCUUAGAAAAUCACUAUACCUAUGGUUGGAGGCCUCUCCAUACACAGGCAUAGGAUACAAAAAUGGACAAGCGGAAGGUGGCCAUAAAACAACUGAAAGGGAGAAUCCAACAAAUAGUAAUUUAGGUUGAUACAAACAUAGUAAAUUGGUGUCUAACUCACACUACAAGAGAAGUUCCAUGAUCAUCACGGUAGAUAGAAUUCAAAAAAAGGUGUAAUAAACUCAAAUUUACUGCAGAAGGACAAGGUAAAAGGUAACAUACCUACUUUACGGCCAGCAACUACGCAAAGAAGGUUAUGGUGUGGAUCAUAGUGAGUACUAGAUCUUGAUUGAGCCCUAUUCAUCCAAAAAUUGAUUGACGAAAAUGAUUUCGUUGCCAGAAAUUCAGGCUGCACCAGCAAAUAGAGGUCGAUCAGCAUGCACUUUCCAACUUUCGCGCGCAUAAAAAUGUUGAGCAAUUAAGAAAGAGAAAAAAGAAAAAGAAAUUCAAGUGAACCAGAGUUCAACCGUUAGAAAAUCUUCUCUCAAAGUUUGCAGCGGGCACCUCUGUUUGUUCUCAUCAUUCGAAAUUGCGACCUGUUGAAGAGAAAAUUACCUUGUUAUUUGCGCACACCGUGAUGAUAAAUUUCUAAGUAGCAUUGUAGAACUCGAAACUUGAAGGUCAACUUUUUCUUUUUUUCUUCUCUUUUUUCCUAACCUGUGCAAUGUAAAAUUGAUCGCGAGUACUCAAAGAGGUCGAGCAUGGUUCUGACAAAUUGGCUGAUUCUUUACUGAUUUCUUCUUGCACUGCCAUAGAACUACUAACAGCAUCCGAUUCUCGAAGAUACGAUUUGCACGAGGCGAUAAAGGUCGAAAAUUUUAAAGGCACCUAUCAUCGUAAAACACAUAGGAAAAGCAAAAUCAUCAUUAGUUCAAAAAUACUUAAUGCGCAGAGUUCAAGCUGCAAAUAGUUGAGCAGUAUAAGAUUACUCUUUCGUGGCUUCUCAAAUCCCCGUAGAACACUGGUGUCGAAUCUGACAUCAUAGCUUCGACGGUCACAGAUCCUACUCUUUCCUAAAAUUUUUCACAAAUUCUCGUCAAUUCAAUAUCAAAAUACAUCAAAUAAAUUGAUAAUUCAUAAUUAAAACAACGCAACAAUGCCAAAGGAGUAAAUUGCACCACUAGUGUUCAAACCCUUAGUCAAGUUUAAUUUCAAACUUAUAUAUAUAUAGUUCGGCUACUAUACUCUUACGAGUAUAGGCCACUUUGUACUCAUAAGUUUUCGACCGUUAGAUCUACACCUUUCACUAUUUUCAUCCAUUAGAUCAUAUUAUUCAACCAACCACCCACUCAACCCUAGUGAACCACUAUAAUCCUAACCAGGUACCACUAUAAUCCUAACCGCACAUUCCUUCAUCCAACGGCCAAAACUUAUGAGUACAAAGGGCUCUAUACUCAUAAAAGUAUAGUGUGUGUGUGUGUGCUAGGCUGGUAUACUAUCGGUAGCACGGAGGCCUCCGUGCUACCAAGUUGUUUUCAAUGAUGCGGCUUCCAAAUCGACGAUCGGCUCCGUUAGACUUGAUCUACACUAUUGAAAGUAUUUGAAAAUUAAAUUUCAUAAUUUUUCUGCAUCAUUUACCUAUCAAACGAGUAGUCUAAAAAUGAACGGCUGAAAAUAAAAAUCUCAUAAAAAAUGAUGGUAAAAGACUUGAAUUUAAGAUCAGAGGUACUGAUCUUACUCUAAAUAGUGAAAAGAAUUUUUUAUAAAAAUUUCAUUAGAUUUGGAUUGUUUUACACUGUUAAAUUCACAAACACAUCACAUCUACCAUUAAAAUUUUAUGAGACUUUGAUCACUAACCAAAUGAUGUCGAAAAAUUAUGAAAUUUAAUUUCCAAAUACUUUUAAUAGUGUAGAUCAAGUUUAACGAAGCCGAUCGUCGAUUUGAAAGCCGCAUCAUUGAAAACAACUUGGUAGCACGGAGGCCUCCGUGCUAUAUAUAUAUAUAUAUAUAUAUAUAUAUAUAUAUAUACACUUUUGUCCUUAUCAUAACUGAGAAAAAAAAUUACUGACCAAACGCAGUGUAUUUGUAUAUCUACACACCACGAAUCCACGAUUCUCAUAUGCCGUUAAAUUUUGACAAUUACGACCAUUAUACCCUUAUAACAAGAUAGUUUUUCCAAAAAGUACUAAGAAAAGAAUGAUUAUUUUACAGAAAGAAAAGUUAAUUUAACAGCCAGCCACCCAAAAGGAAAGGGAUAUAUUUGCAAACUACGGAUAUGUAUGAGAGAUAUAUUUAAUAACUAAAACAUUAUAGGUUUAGAGUUAAAAAUAUAAUUUCAUUACUUUGUAGGGAUACAUAUGCAAUUAAUCUCAACGGAACGACAUGGGCUAAAUUUGAACUUCCAAAAGUUUUUAAGCUGUUUCCAACCCAAAACUUCGACGACUAAAGUGAAACUUGUUUUAAACGUAAAAACAAGGUUGAAGUCCAUACAGCUCCCUGUAAACAUAUCGAAUAUCAAAUACAUUUCUACAAAGUUCAAGUUUUUAUAUUUUUCUCAGCAAAAGUCCAGUGAUAUUCAUAUUUGUCCCUCUGGCUUGCUAUCUUUAGAGCACUGUUUACGUUUUAACAGAAGAUAAGCGAAAUGACAUUUUUGCUAUCACAAAUACGUCAUUCCAAAAGCCUCAACUGUUUGAAAAUGUCCUCCCAGAAAUCCCUAACGGACAUCUUCUUUCUCUCUGCCAUUACAAAUAAUAUAAGAGGAGUAAAAAAUAUCAAUUUACCUCAUUUACUACUCAGGGUUAAGUAUUUUAUCUAUAAUUAACUAUAUUUUUCUAAGAGAUCAUAGCAGCAUGGGUAUAUUUGAAAACGAUAGGACUUUUGCAAGAAUAAGUAUAAAAAGUUAAAUAUUGUACCAAUAUAUCUACUAUUUGAUAUGUUUAUAGGGAUUAUGCAAUUAACCCAAAAAAAAAAGUUAGGUUUAAAUCAAAAACCUCCAAAUAAUCGAGGCCUCCAUUUAAGGGAUUCCACUCCGAGAACGCCCUCCAAUCCCUUACAACGCCAUGAAAAACCUCCCCCCCAAAAAAAAGAAAAAGAAAAAAAAAAAAGACAAAUUAGAGAAGAGGAACAUCCCGAAAAGGAAAAAAAGAUCGGUAUUGAAUUGUAAAAAAAAAAAUAAAUAAAUAAAUAAAUGAAAUGAAGGAUUUAUGGAUUUAGGGUUUGGUGUACAGCGGGGGCGUUGGUGGGCUCAAUCGCCGAGGAGAAAUGUUCGGGCGACGGGGAUCGGUCGAAUCGGCGGGCUCGGAGGGCGCCGCCGAGUCGACUCGCCGCCGCGCUCUCCAUUUCCUCGCCGCCGCACGAGUCGAAAAAAUCGCCGACCGAGUUCGUCAAAAAUGAAAACCGGUAUAAUUAGGGAUUUUUAUUUUUGCAUUUAGCCCCCUCAGGAAAAAAAAAAUAAUAAUAAAUAAAUAAAUAGUCCUACAAAAUUUAUAUUUGAAAGAUUAGCUCCAUCCCCACUACGUAAGUGGCACGUAGGUGUGGUUGGGGGUUAAGUUUUCUUUUAAUAUAUUAUUUAAGACAUAAAAAAAUAGUUUACAGUGUCUUUUAAAUAAUAUAUAUCAAAAGAACACGAUGAACUAUUUAUCGUGUCUAACGUACGCCAUCGACGCCCGUAUGGCACUUGCGUGUGACGGAGAUAGAAAUAAUCUUAUAAAUAUAAAUUUUAUGAUAUUAUUUUUGAAAAAAAAUUUUUGAGGGGCUAAAUGCAAAAAAAAAUCAGAUAAUUACCCACCUGGCCCUCAAAAGUGCUUGGCUUUUAUAUUUGUCCUUUUUUGUUUUUGCAAAAAUAAAAAUCACUAGUUUUAUAUUUUUGUGAAAAUAAGUUUUUUUAUUUUUUAUUUUUACAGGACAGAGUCCAAAUUUUUUGAAAAUGGUUAAAAAACCCACCUCUCUUUCCUCCGAUCUCUCCUCGCUUACGAGCGAGAGAAAUAUGGUGAACUUGAGCCGUUCGUGUAGUGCUGCUCUACGCUUUAUUAGAGAUAGAGACAAAGAUGGCAAGUGAGAAGGGCUAUUGCUAGUCGAGAAUUCUUUUGAUACAUGUUCACAGUAGGCAUGGUCGACAACAACUAAGAGCAUGGUUGACUUUCGCUUUUGCUCGGAGCAGGGGAGGAGUACGGCGGCAACGUGGGGGGCGGCAGAGGCAUCAUCGUCCUUUCACUCCUGCACAAGGGAGGGGAGAAGUGCGACAGCAACAUAGAAGCAGUGGAGGAGGAGUUAGAAAAAGCGGUUGGAGAAACAAAACAAGGAGAGAGAGAGAAUAGGAGUACUUUAAUAAGUUCAAAAAAAAAAAACGAACGGAAUAAAACACCUACUUCUUCAAAAUUGUAAAAAAAUUUUUCUAAGCCAAAAAGGACCGAUAGGAUUAAACUUUUUUACCUAAAUUUUUAAGAGAGUAUAAAAAUACCGUAGACUAAUAGAAUUUAAUUAUGAGGAUAUAUUUGAAAGAAAUUAAAAUUUAAGAACGAAUUUAGGAAAAUAAAAAAUACGAGUACUUUUCUGUGGUGCGUAUACAACUGUUGCUAAAAGCAGAGGCCUCGGCUAUAUAGGCUUUUUUAGGCCAUAGCCUAAUCAACAAGCCCACAACCCAGAAAAUGGGAUAAAACCAAACCCGGCCCGAGCCAUUUUCAAUAAUUUAUCCGUUAAUUAUUUUGGGCCAUUCUCCCGCGCGGUUCUGAAAAAGUUUUUUUUUUUUUCUAACUAUUGUAACACAGGAGUUUGACUGGACUACUAUCGAUAGUAAACUGCUCGAUUUAUUAUCGAUUUAUUUUUAAUGAUAGAGCUUUCAAAUCGACGAUCGGCACCGUUGAACAUGAUCUAGACCAUUUAAAUUAUCUAGAAAUCAAAUUUCAUGAUUUUUUGGAAUCACUAACUGAACAAUCAGAGGAUCACAAAGUCUAUAAUUUUAAUGGUCGAUAUUGUGCGUUUGCUCGUUUGACGGUAUAGAAAAGUUCAAAUCAACUAAAUUUUUGUUAGAAAAUUCUUUAAACUAUUUAAAAUAAGAUCUAGAUUCCAGAUCUAAAAUAUAAAAAUUAUAUCAUCACUUUUUUAAGGAUAUUCAUUUAUAGCCAUUCAUUUUUCUGUUCACUUGAUGGACAAAAGAACAAUAUCGAAAAUGUGUGAAAUUUGAUUUCCAGAUAAUUUAAAUAGUUUAGAUCAUGUUUAACGGUGCCGAUCAUCAAUUUGGAAGCUCUAUCAUUGAAAACAAAUUAGUAGUAAACCGAGCUGUUUACUUCCGAUAGUAUUCUAGCAAAACUCGUAACACAGACUCGAAAUUAAUUCUACAUCUAAUAAAAAAUAAUAUAAUAAAUUUAUCUACGAAUAAUAUUUUGUUUUAAAAAAAAAUUUACUUUCAUACUCAAUGUUUUAAAAAUUAUCAACUAGAAAAGUAUAUAAAUUUUAAUAUUCUAGCAUCAUAAUCUCUGCACCAAACAAAGUAGUUAAAAGUUAUAAAAGAUUAAUUUAUAUUAAUAGAAAAUAAAAUUAGUUAAGAUGAUUUUAAUUUGUCAAUUUUUUUAAAAUUUUUUUUAUUUUAUCAUCAUUACUUUUUUAAUAAAAUAAAAAUUAAAUUACAUGGAGGUAGAGUAAAAUUUUUUUGGGGUUAACUUUAAAUACCACGCUUAUGAUUUUGCAUUCUAUAAUUUAAAGUGUAUCAAUUUAGUAUUCUAUGAUUUUAUUUUUCUCUUUCUUUAGUUUAUUCGUUAACAUUUUGUUAAAUUAUAUAAAAAAAACUACAUAUACCCUACGUAGGUUUAUCGAAUAUUUAUUUAGUAUUUUUUAGUUUUAACUUUGUCAUUAAUUUAACAAAAAAAAUUGAUAAAAAUAAUUAUAAAAAUAAAAUAAAAUUUUGGGGACUAAAUUGAUAUACUUCAAACUAUAUGAUACUAAAAUAAAAAAAAUUACGAAACUAUAGUAAUAUUAUUUUGAAAUUUCUUUAUUUUUUUAAUGACAAAAUAGAAAAGUAAAAAAAAAAGGUGCUCGACACGUCACGUGCUUAAGCAGCCACGUCAUCGCGAAUCACGUGCAACGCGACAAAAGGGGCUUGAAAUUUCCAAAGCUGUCACAGAACCCGAGGGUGCCCGGGGUGAAAAUUACGUCCCUAUCCCUCCCUCCUCCAACCUUCUGGUAACUUCCCGCCACAUCCUGCGGUGCUCUCGCGGUCCACGUCACGCCCCCACCUCCGUGUGAACCCGGCGCGGUCCACGUGGCACCGCAUCCACCGCCUCCCCCCACCUCCCCCACUAUAUAUGUACACGCACUCACCAUUGUGCAUAUAAUAAUAUAAUAAGCUCUAUAAAGUUCACACCAAAGCGAUUAUUGGAGAGGCUCUUUUUUUUUUUUUAAUUUCAAAUUAAAUUUAUAUUUUAGUUUUUUUAAUUAUUAUUAUUAUUAUUAUUUUGCUUUAGAGUGUUCAGUGUUUACGAUGGCGUGUUCGGCGAUUCUGAGCUCCUACGUGGCAGGGAUCGCGCCACGUGUCGGCCUGGGAAGGCCUGCUUUGGUGCCACGUAAGCAUGCGUUGCGUGUGCGCUGCGCUGGUGAUCAGGUGAGCCGCUUUUGUAUAGUAGAAUAGUAGUCGGCGAUGUGAUGGAGGAGUUUCAGAAGUGGACGCCGACUUUUGUUAAUACUGAAAUGUAAUUACAAACAAUCAUAGAUUAAAAAAGGAUUUUUUUUUUUUUUUUUUAGCCUCCUUAGAAUUUUUUUUUCAUAAAUAGUCUUAGAAAAUUUAUAUUUACAAAAUUAAUACUAUUCUCACCAUACAAAAGCCACGUAAGCAUCACAUGAGUAUGGCGGAUUAAGUUGAACACGAUAAAUUAUUCACCGCAUUUGAAUAUGGUGAAUAUAUUUACCGGAUUUGAAUAUGGUGAAUAGUUUGGCAUGUCCUUUCUGUAUUUUACUUAAAUCGUAUCCUUUUCAUAUUCGCCGUAUUUAUUGUAUUGAAUAUUGUAUAAGUUAAGUUGAAUACGGUGAACUAUUAAUCGUGUUAAAAUAAAGUGAAUGAUUUAUUAUGUUCAACUUAAAUCUUGAACUGCCAGCCACGCUCACGUGGUACUUGAGUGACGCUUGCGUAGCGGGGAUAGGGUCAAUCUUGCAAUAUAAAUUUUAUGAGACUAGAGCAAUAGAGCAAGUGGUAAAGGACUUGGUGGUUGGUAUCCGAGACCCAAGUUCAAAUUCUAGUUGAUUCACAUUUUCAGCUAAGUUUAUUUCUAAAUAAAAUAAACGAAGCGGGUAGCAUGCUACCUAUUUCUCAAAAAAAGAAAAAAAAAAUUAUGAGACUAUUUAUAAAUUUUUUUUUUUUUGAGGGAGUUAAAAGCAAAAAAAAAACCUAUUAAAAAAUGAGUGUGAAUUUUAUAUUCUUAUCAUCCAAGAAUCACAUUUUUACAUUUUAAUACUAAAAUUCGGAGAGGGGUUAUGAGUUAUAUGAACCCCUCAGUCAAAGUUACAUAUUUUAUAUAAAAUUUGUAGCAUUAAAUUAUAUUCCUUAUUGCACAAUGGUACAAGAAUUAUUUUUUUAAAGCCCUAUUUUAUAUAUUAUGCAGUUAUCUUAUUAUUUCUGAUUGAAUUCUUUUCUAUUCUAUUCAGCAUAAUAUAAUUGUGGGACCAUUUAAUUAUCUAUUUUUGUUAAAAAAAUGAUCACUACUAAAUUAGCAAAGUUUAGGCCUUGCUUAGUGUAGAGACACCAUUUUUUUUAUUCCUUUAAUAAAAUUUUUAUACAAAAAUAAGGUUUAAAAGUGGAACGCAGAUUAUUUGUAAUUCGCGCAUAUGGCAAAAGAAAAAUAAAUAAAAUUUGUAAGUGAUUUUUUUUUCUUUUUUUUCCCAAAUAAAAUAAAAAAUAAAAUAAAAUAAUUGAUCCAAUCAGUAAAAAUGAAAUUGAUUUUAAAUAAAAUUUAGUGUCUUAUAAUUAAUCGCUUCGAAGAAAAGUAUAAUCAUAAAAGUAUAAAUAAUCUUACUGCAAUUAUUAUUAUUUUUUUUAAAGUUCUUUUCCAUGGUUCUCAAUCAAAAAACUCUUAUAAAUACUUUUAGCAGAAAAUACAGGAUUCGGCGCCGACAACCCCUCCAUCGCCGACUUCUACUGGACCCACCACUGCACCAAAACCUCAGCCCAAGGUAAUUAAUUAAUACAUAUUAAAAAAUUAAAAACUAGCGGAGAACGGUAUUUUUAAUAUUUAUAUUCAGCAACUGAAAUUAUAUGCUGACUCGGCUCCAGGUGAGCACCAAAUUCUCGGACGUGCUGGCGUUCAGCGGGCCGGCGCCGGAGCGGAUCAACGGGCGGCUGGCGAUGGUGGGGUUCGUGUCGGCGGUGGCGGUCGAGGUGGCGAAGGGCGACGGCAUCUUCGCGCAGCUGUCGAACGGCGGCGUGCCGUGGUUCCUCUUCACCGCCGCGCUGCUCUCCGUCGCGUCCCUCGUCCCCUUAUUCCGAGGCGAGAGCGUGCAGUCGCGUUCCGGCGCGGUCAUGAGCGCCGACGCCGAGCUCUGGAACGGCAGGUUCGCCAUGCUAGGGUUGGUGGCGUUGGCCUUCACCGAGUACGUUAAGGGAGGGCCCCUUGUGUAAAAUGUAAUAAAUUAAACUAAACGUAUAUACGUGUGAUUUUAUGUUCAUGCAGUGUUGUAUACUGCAUGUAUAUGCGUACGUACAAUUGUGCAAAAGUACUACGUACCUAAAAAAUAAUUAGGGCCUGUUUGGGUACUUUUCAAAAUAAAAUAAUAAUUCAAUUUACGGUGUAUUAUUUACAACUCUUGAAAUAUUAUAAAGGGUUUCUGUUUGGAUACGUUUUGAAAUUGUAAAAAAGAAUAAAGUAAUGAUCAACUCAAAGCGAAAAUUUUUUGUAGAAAGAAAAAAAAUAAAUCACUCUUUUCUUUUCUAGAUAACGCUCAUCCCACCUCCGCCGUCACCACAUGCUGACCUCUUACUCUUCUUCUUCUACCUCUACUCUACUAUCUCCUCCUCGAGAUUGUGACAUUUUUCUUCACCAUCGGCAAUCGUCGCCGCUCUUUGACCUCUUACUCUUCUUCUUCUACCUCUACUCUACUAUCUCCUCCUCGAGAUUGUGACAUUUUUCUUCACCAUCGGCAAUCGUCGCCGCUCUUUGACCUCUUACUCUUCUUCUUCUUCUACAUCUACUAUCUGCUUCUCGAGAUUGUGAUAUUUUUUCUUGUCGUCAGCUCUCACUGUUGCCCACGAGUGCUCCUGCUCCGAGACGGGACACUAUACUAGUGAAUUUUUCGUAUUGGGUUGUCACGGCGGAGGGUGAUGAUGAAGGUGGGAGGGAUGGGAAGAUGGUGGGUUUAAGCAAGAAAGGAGAAGGUGGUAGGGGUGGAUUUGAGCAAAGAGAAGGUGGUGGGAGUGUAUUUUUUUUAUUAACAUUACUUCUUUUUUUUUUCAGAUUUGAACCAAAUAUUAAAAAAAGGAGUAAAAGAUUAUAGAGUUUUAUAUUAACCUAUUACAGUAAGGUUUUUAUAUUAACCUAUUACAGCAAAAUAUCAAACUCUAUUUUAAAUUUCUACCAUUGCCAAACAGCUCUUAAUUAAAGAGUACUGUAAUGGGUUUAGAAUAGUAAUUAGAGAGUAGACUUGGCAAUCUCGACCCAUAUCCGCGGGUUACCCGCAAAUUUACGGGUAUGGGUACCAAUUUUUUCAACCCAAAAAAUUACGGGUAAAACGGGUGGGUACCCAUUAAGCUGUGGGCAUUUUGGGUAACCCGCGAGUACCCACGGGUAUCCGCACAUAUAUUUUUUNGGGUUACUUGAGCAUGGGUAAAAUUUACCCACAAAUUUUUGGAUAGCCAACAUCAUUACCCAUACCUACCCGCGGGUGAGCGGGUGGGUAUGCUGGUUACCCGCAAAUUUUUUUCUUUUUUUCUCUUAUAUUUUUUAAAUGCAAAAUACAUAUAUAUAAGUUUUAAAAAUAUAGCAUAACUUAUUAUUUAAAAUAUCAUAACAUACAAUAAAAAUAUUUAAAGUCUUAAAGCUUAAAAUUUUCGUAAUAUAAAAGACGCGAUAAAAAAUUAGAGUUAGAAUUUAUAGGAUGAGUAAAUAAAAAUAUAUAUAUUUUGCAUUUAAAAAAUAUAAGAGAAAAAAAAAAUUGCGGGUAACCCGCAUACCCACCCGCCCACCCGUGGGUGGGUAUCGAUAAUGAUGUUGGCUACCAAAAAAUUUAUGGAUAAAUUUUAUCCAUACCCAAAUAACCCGUGGGUACAAUAACCCGCCCGCAGGUUACCAAACCCGCCCGUUUGCCAGGUCUAUUAGAGAGUGAUUGAAGGAUAUAUAAGAGUGAUUAAUCUACUCAUGCAACUAAGUAAUUGCUUGCAACAUCCUUUGCUUUUAUUUUUAUUACGAAAUUGUUUUCAAUGAUGCGGCUUCCAAAUCGACGAUCGGCUUCGUUAGGCUUGAUCUACAUUGUUGAAAGUAUUUGGAAACUAAAUUUCAUAACUUUUCGGCCUCAUGUACCUAUCAAACGAGUGAUUUAAAAAUGAACGGUUGAAAAUAAAAAUUUCAUAAAAAAUGAUAAUAAAAGACUUGAAUUUAAAAUUAAAGAUACUGAUCUUACUCUAAAUAGUGAAAAAAAAAUUUUAUAAAAAAUUCAUCAGAUUUGGAUUGUUUUACACCAUUGAAUUUACAAACGCAUCACAUCUACCAUUAAAAUUGUCAAUUUUGGGACCUUUUGAUCACUAGCCAAAUAAUGUAGAACAAUAAUGAAAUUUAGUUUUCAAAUACUUUUAAUAGUGUAGAUCAAAUCUAACGGAGCUGAUCGUCGAUUUAGAAGUCACAUCAUUGAAAACAAUUUGGUAGUAUGAAGGCCUGAUCCGUACUACCGAUAGUAUACCAGUUUAGCUCAAAAAAUAUUAUAUUUUUUUAUUAAUAACAUGAUGUAGUAUUGAUUAUAAUAAUUCAGCUGCAAUAUAAUUUAUGCCAUACCACUAGCUAGAAAACAGAGGAGAUCUUUUUACAUCUAUUUUCUUACUUCUCUUUGGCUCAAUUGUAUCGAACCCCACUAUACAUGAGCAUUUAGUGAUCAAAAGUUAAUAAUAAAUACUAUUCCAAUAAUAUUAUUGGUAGUAUUCUAGCUCCAUGAGUAGAGUUCCUACACUUUCAGAAAUAUAAGGGAAUUGGUUUUUUCAACUUUUUUGGCUCUUGGCUUUUUGAUCAUUUUUUAUCUUUAGAUUAAUAUUGUUAUUCUAAGGGAACUACUCAAUACUAUAAUAAAAUAUAUUUUAGGCGACGCUUUUUAGACCAUUAUGUUCUAGCAUUUUUAAUAUUUAGUAUGCGCCGACACUAUAAUUAAAUAUAUUUUUAUCAAAUACUCAUAAAAAAUUUUCGACCCUAUAUUAAAGUGUCGGUAUAUUCAUCCCGAUAUAUUUACUUAACGACUUUUUGUUCAACACUUUUAUAAACGUCGGGUUAUUUUUGUUGACGUUUUAAAAUAUCACUAGUUAUUGUUUAAAGUAUCCUUAAGUGUAAGAUUUAUUGUAGUGCAAUCUUAGGAGACCACUCAACUCUAAGGUGGACCACUAUCAUCCAAAUCCUAUAAAUUUUUAUCCAAGGGUCAAAAAGUCAGAAGCAUUAACUCCUUUAUAUUUUCGAUAAUAUAGUAGCUCCACACACACACACUAUAUAUAUAUAUAUAUAUGUAUAUAUAUAUAUAUACAUAUGUAGGCUAGAGAUACUUGUAAAGUAUCUAUGGGGUGAUAACAUUAAUGAUGUUUUAGGCUCUGGUGGAGAGAUUGAGGUUGAACUGAUAGUGGACUGGUGUGAGUACGUGGUGGAGGUGGAAUAGUGUUUAAUCAAAAGGUAUUAAUAAUGCAAAAAAUAGAUCAAUGCUUAAAACCUAAUAGCACGCAUGCAUGGUACGACUUCUAUCGUACAACCGUAUCAUAGUCAAUUCUAUAUAUAUAUAUAUGUGCAGCUAUUAUACUUUUAUGAGUACGAUCAUCCUUCACGUACUCAAAAGUUAUUUCGAAUGAUAAUAGAGUUUUUGAAAUCGACGAUUCAUACCGCUAAACGUUAUCUUAGAGCAUUUAAAAUUAACUUUUAGAAAUAAAUUUUAUAAUUUUUUGAAUUAUUAUUUACUUUCCGAUAAAAAAUCUCAUUAUUUUUUUGGAAAAAUAAAUCUCAAAAUUGAAAUAAGUUUUGGCGGUUGCUAAAUGCUUAAAUUAACUGUUGGUAAUUGCAGCACUCUUUUAGGUUAUAGCAACACUCUUUAACUGUCACUAAUACCUAGCGACCACCAUAUGCACAAAUUAUAAUAAGUGUCGAUAAUUUUAGCUAGCAGCACUUUUUGACAUGUACCUAUAUUUAAAAGUGUUGCUAUAGAUCGUUUUGGUGUAGUGUAUUCCAAUAUUACUGGUAAUUCUAGCUCUAUGAGUAGAGUUCUACACUUCCAGAAAUAUAAGGAGUUGGUUUUUUCAACCUUCUUGGCUCUUGGCUAUUUUAUCAUUAUUUAUCUUUGAAUUAAUAUUAUUAUCCUAAGGAGACUACUCAAUACUAUAUAAUAUAUUUUAGGCGACGUUUUAGACCAUUAUGUUCUAGCAUUUUUAAUAUUUGGUAUGCGCCGACACUAUAAUUAAACAUUACCAAUAAAUAUAUUUUUAUCAAAUAUUCAUAAAAAAUUUUCUGACCCUGUAUUAGUGAUCGAACUAUUCAUUCAUCCGAUCUAUUUACUUGAAGCGACUUUUUGUUUCACACCUUUAUUAUCGGGGUUAUUUUGUUGACGUUUUAAAAUAUCAUAGUUAUUUGUUAUAACAGUAACAUUAAUAUAUCCAGAAUUAUUGGUAUGUGCAAUCCUUGGAACCUACUCAAGACUCUAAGGUGACCAAUAUCAUGCCAAAUCCAUCCACCAGAAUCCUUUUGACAGCCAAGCCCGGGGGCGUGCGAUCCAAAUCGAAACAUUCACAACACCUCGGGCUAUUAACCUCCUCUAAGUAGUUUCGCCGGAUAAUUAGCAUAGCAGCCCCGCAGCAGCCCACGCCACACACGAGCUCACUUCCGCGCUUAUAUUAUAUUAUAUAGUGCUAUAUACUAUACUAUAAAGUCAAAUGUAGUCACUAUAUACCAUAAUGCUUAUAACUCCACAUCGCAGUAGUAUAUACUAGCGUUAGCACCCGUAUGUAUAGUAUAUAUAUAUAUAGAUGUAUAUAUAAUGUAUAUAUAUGUAUAUUAUGUAAUAUAUAUGAUAUGUUACUCAGAAUAUAUGUAAUGUGUAUAUCAGUAUAAGCUGUAUAGCUAUAUACUGUAUCACUAUCAUAUAUAUAAUGUAUAUAUAUAUAUAUAUAGUAUAUAUAUAUAUAUUAUAUAUAUAUAUAUAUAAUAUAUAUUAUAUGCAGGCUAUUAUACUCUUAUAUACGAUAUCUUCGUACUCAAAAGUUAUUUCCGAUGAUAUAUAGAGCUUUUGAAUCGACGAUUCAUACCGCUAAACGUUAUCUAGAGCAUUUAAAAUUAACUUUUAGAAAUCAAAUUUUAUAAUUUUUUGACAUUAUUUACUUUACGAUAAAAAAAUCUCAAAUUUUUUUUUGAGAAAAAUAAAUCUCAAAAUUGAUAAUUUUUAACGGCCGGUAUAGAAUGCUUGCUAGUUAACGGUGUAAAAGAAUCGGAAUCGGUUGAAUUUUUGAUAGAAAAUUCUAUUCGCUAUCUAGAUAAAGAUCAAUAAUUCCGAUUUUAAAUUGAAGGCUCCGAUCAUCCAUUUUUAAGAUGUCGUUUGAUUUUAACCAUUCAUUCUAUGACCAUUUGAUGGACUUUAUUAUGAUUUCGAAUAAUUACGAAAUUUAUUUUUUAAAAGUUUUAAAUACUCUGGAUCAUAUUUAACAGAAUGGAUCGUCGAUUCGAAAGCUCUAUCAUUAAUUAAAAAUAACUUAUGAAUAUAAAAGACUCUAUACGCAUAAGAGUACAGUAGUUCUACUCUCUCUCUCCAUACAAUUUCAUAAAGCAAGAAGCACUUUAUUAAUGCAAAAGUACGCAAAACACAGUAUAAGACAAGUUACAACAAUAGGACUAUAUAUAAGUUUCCAUCUGCGAAUUUAUCAUAGAGGCAAACAUAGUGCAAGACACAAGCUACAACAACAUGAGCAUAUAUGAAGUCUCUUUCUGCUAAUUUAUCAUAUUCUAUCAUAGUAUUCAAGCAAACAGUAGGAUCUUAUCAAGCAAUCGCAAAACCCUUAUGUUAAGCAGCGGAUUCGGUGUUCUUCCUCGGAGUAUUCGCAUACUUCCAGGUCGAAGACUCGUUCGCAGUUCGCAAACCUACAACCUCUUCCUCGCGCACUGCGUCGCGUAUUUCCUUCACAUCUUCUUCAGUGAGCUUCACUUUCAAUGAGCCAAUGUUGUUAUCCAGGUUCUUGAUCUUGGUUGUCCCUGAAAACAUUAGGAUUUAGGAAGCAGAUAUAGUGUCACAAAAUAUAUGAGCCAAUUGAUCAAAGAGCUAGCUCUACUUGAGCGAAAAUUUCGAGCCAAUUCAAACACGAUUGAGCUUAAACUUUUGAUUAAUUAGUCGUUUUAUGUUGACACUAUUAGGAUUUGGUUAGAUUUAUAGUUAAAUUCUAGUUGAAUUAGAAUUAAUAUUUAAAUCUAUUGAAGAUAAAAUAAUUAAAGUCUAAAUAUUAAUUAGGGUAUAAAUUUAAUUUGACUAAAAUUUGGGUAGUUUGAUGUAAUUAUAUGUAAGGCCCCAUGUAGUCCUAUGUAUAAGAUAUUAUAGGGCAAAUUUCUUAACCCGGCUAUAACAUUUUGAGUGGUGGCUAGGCCGAAGAUGUUAAGAGAGUUAAGCGUGUUAGGGUCAGAGUAGUCCUAGAAUGGAUGACUCUCUGAGAAGUGAGACGUCACAUUAUAAAUAUAGCAAAGGUGUUAUUAUCUUGGUGGUGGUGGUAUGAUUUAUUUUGGUGGUGGUGAUACGGUUUUGCCACACCCAUACGGCAUGACUAAAGUGGUCAUAAUUUUGGUUGCACCUAGCGCAUGGGUGUAAAAGGAUGUAUAUGUGCGGCUUUCAUAACCGUGGGUCAUUGGUAUACCUUGUGCAGAGUGCACAGGAUGAGAGAGAAGUCUUUUGGAUUUAUAAAAGACGAGAGAGGACAAGAGAUUUAGAAAGAGGGUUGGAGUUGAAACAACUCUGUAUAAAAGAGAAGUCAGGUGCAAUUCUUUUCUUGAUCGGUAAAUCUUAUUUUGUCUGUAUAUUUUCUGUUUGAUUUUUUCUCUAUUUUGUGUUGUACGCUUUUUAUUGAGGAGAUGAGUUUAUAGUAAAAAUGCGACGUGGAAUCCUAGCUACUAGUACUAAAAUGAGUACCGGAUCAACAACAAUUGGUGUCGGAGAGGAUUGCGGAUUUUAAAAAUCUAAUAUCAGAGCAAAUACCAGAUUCCCAACAGAUACUGCGUUCCAUUAAUCGUAAAUCUAAAUUACCUGGGAUUGGGGCAACAUCAUCCCCUUGAUGAAGAACCCAAGCUAAAGCUAGUUGAGCAGGGGUGCACUGAUGCUUCAAGGCUAGGUUUUCCAUUCUCACAUACAAAGGCCUAUUCUUUUCCAAGUUCCCUCCGGAAAACCUCGGAUGUGAUUGCUGUACAAUUCAGAUUCAAAUUUGAAAUUUUAAUCAUGAGUUCCAAACAUGCAUUUAGAACAAAAUUUUGAAAUUUUAGAAGAUUAUUAGUUCAUUACCAGAAACGUAUCUUGUGGUAUUGCUUCUACAACUCCUUUCCCACCAAAAAAGCCGCGGCCGAGGGGGCUGUAAGGAACUAUCCCAAUUCCCAGCUCCCUGCAUUCACAUUUAUAAAUAAAAUUUUGUUUAAAAAUUUGUCGGAUUACAAAUCGAAAAUUCAAUUUUCGAUUUGAUUUGGGAUCGAAAAUACGACUUGUUCGAUCGUAGGCUAAGAAGAUGAUGCGAACCGAACCUGCAAAGCGGCACGAUCUCGGACUCGAUGUCGCGAGUCCAAAGUGACCAUUCCAUCUGAAGUGCGGAGAUUGGGUGCACCGCGUGGGCUCGCCGGAUUGUGUCCGGGCUCGCCUCCGAGAGCCCGAUGUACUUCACUUUCCCCUCCUCCACCAAUUUCUUUAGCUCUCCCAUCUAUUGCAUUUUUUUUUUUUCAACCAAAAAUGUUAAUAUUAAAUUAUACUUAUAGUGACAAUAAUUAAUCCAAAAUUUUUAUAUUAUUAACUUAAAUGGGCCAGCAUCCUGCCUGUGGCGCGUGGGGAGCCAACGAGUCACGUUCGAAAUGGUGUAAGGUCAGAUUAGAUCGAGUCAUAAUUGAGAACUGUGAACACUAUAUUUGUACACUUUAAGUGAAUUAAUUACGUAUUUCUAACGGCUCGAGUUUUCGGGAUUAAUGGAUAGCGUCAACGAUCUGACAAUAUAUAUAUCUUAAAAGGGUAAUUAAUUACUCACGGUCUCCUCAAUGGGCACGGUGGGGUCGAUCCGGUGCUGGUAGUAGAGGUCGAUGUAGUCCACGCCGAGCCUCUCGAGGCUCGCCUCGCAGCAGGCGCGCGCAUACUCGGGCUUACCGUUGAUGUAGUACUGCGUGUUACUCCAUCUACCGCCGGGCAUCACCACCCCGAACUUUGUCGCCAGUUGCACCUUCUCCCUCGGCAGUUGUUUCAGCGCCUGCACGAGUGAUCAUGCAAUCCACAUGCGUUUGGUACUAUCGAGUUACCAAUUCCAGUACGUAUAUAUAUAUGUAUAUACGUAGGGAGAAGAGAGAGAGAGAGAGAGAGAGAAGGGGAUCGAGAAACGAACUUUGCCGACUAAGAUUUCGUUGGUGUGAGGUCCGUAGAGAUCGGAGGUGUCGAAGAAGGUGAUGCCGCUCGCGAAGGCGUGCUUGAUGAUGGCGAUGCCGGCCGCGUCGUCGACCGGAGCGUUGUAUACUCCGGUGAGGCCCAUGCACCCAAACCCUAGCUUAGAUACCUACUCAUAUAUAGAGAGAUUAAUGAAUGUAAUUAAUUAGGAAGUAUAUAUGAUUAAUUAUAUAGUAGUAUGUAAAUAAAUAACUAAUGUUAAUUACCUCUAAUCCCUGGGAGCCCAACUUAACCCUCUCCAUUUCUCUACUUCUCUACUCUACACUAUUUGCUAUAUAUGUAAUGUAUACUCUCUCUCUUUUGCUAUAUAUAGAUAUAAUAUGUUUUGAGUAAGGGUUAUGGUUUGGGGGAGUAAUGGUGGUGGUGACGUCACGGCUUGGCUCAUGCAUUAAUAUAAUAUAUAUUAUAUAUAUAUAUAUAUAUAUAUAUAUAUAUAUAUAUAUAUUUUUUAUUAUGUACUAGUGGGCGCAGCGAAAUAAUAAACGAAUAGAUCUAUGAAUUGGAGAUGCUGUGGGAGUAUCUACGGCAUCUAAAUUAUCAACAGACUCUCGAAGAAUAUUGAAGAUUUGCCCAAGAGUAGCUCUGCUGACCGGAACACUUAUUAGAGGAUCUCCCGUGUCAAUCACUUCAUUCCUCUCGUUCAGCCCAUCUGUAGCACUCAUAGCUACAGCUCUAACUCGAUUAUUUUUUAAUAAUUAUUGUAAUAUAAAAGUUCCAUUUCAUUGGUGAACGGUGGUUAAUUUUUAAUAUUAAUUUUUUUAAAAAAAAUUCUACUUUUAGAUAAAGAUUAUUGUUGUUGGAUAGAGAUAAAAAAUGAACAUAUAAUCAUAAAUUGGGACUUCGCAAUAAGGCGGGGUUUGGAAACUCCCCAUUUUAAAUUUUUUCCAAAUAUAAAAACUGUAAUAAAACAGUCAUCUAAAAGUGUAAAACCUAAAUGCUUCUUCUUUAUUUUUUUUAACAGAAACACAAAAUAUUAUAAUUAAUUAACUCUUGGAAGUUGAAACGGGUACAUUCAGGUUACACUUAAAACGGGACGGAUCGUGGGCGAAAGGGGACUUAAAACACAGCGGUUGUUUUAUUUUUUAUCAGAUCGGAAUGGAUUUUGAAUUGAUUAAUUUUAUCCUAUUCUUUUUAUUCUUACUUUUCACUUUAUUCAGAAUGAAUCAGAACAAAAAUAAAUUUUAAUAAAAUUUUCAACGAACCGGAACAAAUCAAAAAGAAAAAAAAAAAAUCUCCGACUCCCGAGUCAUUUACUUGAACCGCUUGAUUCAUAGCGGUUCACACUUUGACUAGUGGGACCCAUUUCCACCAAUGAGCUCACUGCUGAAGUAAUACUCCCCUUGCCUUGACAAGUGGGAACUAGAAAUGUCAAUAGGUAUGGAUAUUCGAAAUUUUAUCCGAAUCCGAAUUCGAAUCCAAAUAAAACGGAUAUAUCCGAUGGAUAUGGAUAUGGAUAUAGAUUCGGAUAUGGAUAUCAAAAUAAAAAUCCGACGGAUAUGAAUUCGGAUAUGGAUUUUGAUUGUACCCGACCCGACCCCGAACCCGACCCGAACCCAAAUUUAUUUUGUAUUAUAUAAAAUAUAUAUAUAUAUAUAAAUUUGAUGGUAUAUUUGAAUUUGUAUUCUAAAAAUUUAGAUUUAAUAUAAUAUAUUUUGAAAUAUUGAAAAAAGAAAUAAUUGUUUCGGAUUCAAAUUUUCGGGUUUGGGUUCGGGUUCGGAUUUCGAAUUUUUUGUCAGGUUCGGAUUUGGAUAUGGAUUUUUAAAAUCCGUCGGGUUCAGAUUCAGGUUCGGGUCUCGAGUUGACAUCUCUAGUGGGACCCACUUCCACGAGUGAGCUCACUGCUCAAGUAAUGCUCCCUUUCCCUAAUUUAGGAUCAUCUAGGUUCGCAAAUAAUACGAAUACCCGGAAUUUUAUUCAAAUCCGAAUUUAAAAGAAAUAGAUUUAUUUGAUGUUAAAUAAAUAUGAUUUCGGAUAUGUAUAUUAAAAACAAAAACACGGUAGAUAUGGCUUCAUAUAUGAAUUUUGACUGUACCCGACCUGAAUCCGAAUUUAUUUUAUAUUUUAUAUAAUAUAUGUAUAUAAAAAUUUGAUAUUAUAUUUGAAUUUGUAUUUAAAAAGUUUAGAUUUAAUAUAAUAUAUUUUAAAAUAUUGAACAGAGAAAUAAUUAUUUUGGGUUCAAAUUUUCGGAUUCGAGUCCGGCCGGGUUCGGAUUCGGAUUUUUUUAAAAGUCCGUUCCGAAUCUGAUCCGUUGACAUCCCUACCGAUCAUCUAAUUGCCAUUGCGAGGUGAUUGUGUUGUAUACAUACAAUAAAAAAUAAGAUAAAACAAACAAAUUUUAACUUUUAUAUGCUCCCGUCUCGAAUUUUUUUAUUUAAUAGUAUUAAAUAUUUCGAGUUCGGCUACUAUGCUAUCAAUAACAUCAAGCACUUUGUGCUAUUAAGUUUUCCACUGUUAAAUCUAUUUCUUUGACGUUUUCCAACCGCUGUUAAAUCGUACUAUUCAAUCAACCACCCACUCAACCUUAGUAGAUCACUAUUAUCUGAACCGUUCAUCUCUUAAUCUAAGAGCCGAAAACCUAAUAGCAAAAAUGACUUGGUGUUAUUAGGACUUGGUUUGGUUCGGGUAUAAGCAAGAACUAGUUAUACCGGGGAUAGAUACAAAUAUGGGUUUUCGUAGGAAUAAGGGUAUUUUUUUUUGUUUGGAUAACAAUAUGAGUAUAAGCUGGAACUAGAAAAAUUAUGUUUGGAUGAAAAUGUAAGUAUAAGGUGGAAUAGUUGGUAGUUAUAAAUAGAAAAUAAUGAUAUUAACCCUAUAAUUAUUUUAAAUUUUUAAACUGAAAAUUUUAAAUUGAAAAUUUUAACUUUUAAAUUAUAAAUUUUGAAAUUAGAUUUAAAAUUUUAAUUUUCAAAAUUUUAAUUUUAAAUAUCUGAUUUUAAAUUUAAGACCAAAUUUAAAUUUGAAUGAUAGAUGAAAAAUAUCAAUUAAAAUUUAAAACUAAAAAUAUCAUGAUUCAAAAUUUAAAUUUAAAAUCAAAUUAAAAUUUAAUUUUAUAUUAUUAAUUUAAAAUUAUAAUAUUAAUUUUAGAAAUUUAACUUUAAAAUAAAUCUCUUGCUUCUCGUCUCUCUCACUCUCGUCUCUCUUGUACGGCGGGUGCGAACAAAUUUGUUCCCCCUGGGUGGGAAACCGUGUUCACCUACCAAAAAUCUAGGCCGAGCCAUGCCGCGGUCUUGGGACAAGUAGCGGGCGGAUAACCCUUUAACCCCCCCCCCCCCCCCUCUUAUAUCCAAUCCAAACACUACCUAAUAGUGUAGUAACCUAGUUAAAAUGUUCCUCAACAUCGAAUAUAUCGAUUUUCAUAAAAAAUUCACUAAUUUUGUAUUUUUAUAAAAUAAGUUAUUAUUUUUGCUGAUUUGAUUUGAAUUUUUAUACUCCUGUGCUAAGCAGUAAAGAUGAUGCCCAAAUCUAUAUAAUAAUUUUGGCUUCUUAUUAGGACUAUAUAGUUUAAAGUGUAUGAAUUUAGCAUCUUGUGGUUUUACACUUUCUCACUUUAGUACCCUAUGGUUUAAAGUGUAUCAAUUUAGUACCCUGUGAUUUCAUUUUUCUUUUUUCGUCGGCUCUUCUGUUAAUAUUUCGUUAAAUUAUAUACAAAAAACUUCAGAUACUCUAUCUAGGUUUAUCGAAUAUUUACUUUAGUACCGUUUAGUUUGAACUUUGUCACUGAUUUUUUUUUUCCUCCGUUAAUAUUUCGUUAAAUUAUAUACCAAAAAUUUCAGAUACCUUAUCUAGAUUUAUUCAUUUUAGUACCCUUUAAUUUUAAUUUUGUCAUUGAUUUAGCGAAAAAAUUAGUAAAAUGGAUAAUAAAAAAAGAAAAUGAAACCAUAAGGUACUAACUUAAUACACUUUAAACCACAGGAUAGUAAAGUAAAAAAGUGCGAAACUAUAUGGGCUAACUUAAUACACUGUAAAUCAGAGGGUACUAAAGUGAGAAAGUGUGAAACCACAUGGGUUAUUUGAAGUUUACCCUAUUAGGAAUGUAGCAUAUGACAUUAAUGUUAGAAAAAAAGUGAUUAAUCAAAUAAUUAUGCUCACCUUAUUGGUCAAAUUUUCUAAUCGGAAAAGCAAUUUUUAUCUAUUUAGGAGUUGUUUGGUUUCUAAAAAAGUAAAAAAAAUAAUUUUUAGAUGCAUGUUAUUUUAAGAAAAGAUUAACUUUUUUUAAAUUUUUUCUAAAUUUUAUUAAAAAAUAAUAUUUUCGUUUUUCUUAGAAUCAAACAGUGGGAUAACUGAAAAGAACAUUUUAGGAAAAGUUGUUUUUGGAAAAAAUUAUUUUUUUUAGAUUUUAUGGAAAUGUAUUAUUUUUCAUUUUCUUUUCGUCAAAAAAUAAAAAUUAUGGAAAAGAUGUUUUUCCAUAUAAACUUUGGCCAAUUUGCAUAAAAAAUUUACUAAUUUUGAGCUUUUAUAAAAGUAGGCCAACUUUUUUGUUUUUGCGUUUGUGAUCAAAAGUUCUCAAAAUUAACAAUUUUAAUGGUAGAUGUGAUGCGUUUGUGAAUUUAACGGUGUAAAACAAUUCAAAUCUGAUGAAAUUUUUAUAGAAAAUUUUUUUCACUAUUUAGAGUAAGAUCAGUACAUCUGAUAUUAAAUUCAAGUCUUUUAUUAUCAUUUUUUAUAAGAUUUUUAUUUUUAGCCGUUUAUUUUUAGAAUACUCACUUGAUAGGCAAAUGAUGCCGAAAAAUUAUGAAAUUUAGUUUUCAAAUACUUUUAAUAGUGUAGAUCAAGUCUAACGGAGCCGAUCGUCGAUUUGGAAGCUGCAUCAUUAAAAACAACUUGGUAGCACGGAGGCUUUCUUGCUACCGAUAGUAUACCAAUCUAACUAUCUAUCUAUAUAUAUAUAUAUAUAUAUAUAUAUAUAUAUAUAUAUAUAUAUAUAUAUAUAUAUAUAUUAAUUUCAUAAAGGUCCCUGCAAAUAUAGUGAAUUGCAGAUAUAUAUUCCUAUAAAGUUUAACUUUCAUAUGUUGUCCCAGUGAAAGUCCCGAUGUUUUCAAAUAUAUAUUCUUGCCGUUAGGAUCCAUUAGAAAACAUUAGUUAACCAUGGUAAAAUUCUUAACACUAGUUAGUUAAUGAGGUGAAUAAAACUGUUUACCCUUCUUCAAUUAACAUUAGGACUUUUGGAUGGACAUAUUUAUGAUGACAAAAAGAUUAUUUCGCUUAUAAAAUAAACAGUGCUUUAACGGUAACAAACCAGAAGGACAUAUGUGAAAAUAUUAGGACUUUUGUAGGGACAACAUUUAAAGUUGAGCUUUGUAGGGAUAUAUUUAUAAUUCACUAUAUUUGCAGGGACCUGUAUGAAAUUAACCCUAUAUAUAUACACAUAGAGAGAGAGAGUUGAAAUAGAAUGUUAUUAGUAGCAAACGGACUCCGUUGUUAUCCAUUUGUUUUCGAUGAUGGAGCCUCCAAAUCGACGAUUGGCACCAUUGAACAUGAUCUAAUACCACUGUAAGUAUCUAGAAACCAAAUUUGAUGCUUUGCCUAUGGCGGCGGUGAGGCCUACGACGGCAACGGCGUUGAAGGUGAGGUCCUCAGCCACGACAAAGACAAGGGAUACCGCACGAUCAACGACGAAGGUGAGGGGAGAGAAGAAGAAGAUAGCUUUUCAUAGGAAUAAACUUAUAAGGUGAUCAUUUCACAUAUCCACAUUUAAAAACUAUCCGUGGUAAAAAACAACAAGGAUAAAUAUAAACGUACCAGAACUUUUAAAAGGAUGUAUUUACAAAUCAUAAAAUUUUCAAAGAAAUAAAUCCGAUUGGUUAAACUUUGAAAGAAUUUAUCUGCUAUUCAACAUAUUUGUAAAGAAUCGUAUGAAAUUACGCUAAAAAACAACAAGAAGCUCUAAGCAGGCCAUUGCAAUGAUUUGAUCAAUUUCAUAAAUAAAGAAGCACUUUAAUCAUUUCUCAUAAUCCACAAAUUUAGUACAACAGAACUUUCAACAGAGGAUCAUAAACGCCCUUUCUGCCAAUCUAUUAUACUUUUUAGCGUCGUAAAGAAAGUUGUAGAACAAUAUCAAUCAAGCAAAGAGCGCUUGGCGAUCGCAAGGCAAUUCGAAGGUCUUAAGCAGCAGAUUCGGUGUUCUUCGCAGGAGUAUUCGCGCGCCUCCACGUAUUAGAGAGGUACGGGCCAUUCGUUCGCAGACCCACAACGUCUUCCUCGCGCACCGCAUCGCAUAUUUCCUUCACAUCUUCCUCGGUGAGUUUUACUUUCAAUGAGCCAAUGUUGCUAUCCAAGUUCCUAAUCUUGGUUGUCCCUAAAACAUUAGGGAGCAAAUGCGCAUCAUAAGCGAACGAAAAGAUCGGUCUAAAAAGAAACAGCUCAGAAAUAGUCUUAGAUAUUGUAAAGCUUAAUUACCUGGGAUUGGAACAACAUCAUCCCCUUGAUGAAGAACCCAAGCUAGAGCUAGUUGAGCAGGGGUGCAUUGAUGCUUCAUAGCUAGGUUUUCCAAUCUCAUGUACAAAGGCUUGUUCUUCUCCAAGUUCCCUCCGGAAAACCUCGGAUGUGAUUGCUGUACAAUUCACAUUCAAAAGUCUAAUCAAUAGUAAUAUAAUAUUAUUGUAAGAGUAAACUUUAGGAUUAAUAAUUUUAUUUUUGAGUUUUUUCUCGACUUUCAAGUAGUUCAAAAGAUUAUAAUUACCAGAAAUGAAUUUUGUGGUAAUUCUUCUGUGAGUCCUUUCCCAGCAAAAAAGCCUCGGCCAAGAGGGCUAUAAGAAACAAUUCCAAUUCCCAGCUCCCUACAUUUACAUUUGCAAGUAAAAUUUUGUUCAGCUAGCAGAUACGCUCCACUUUUGAUAGGAACUAAGCAAGUUAUCCAAAUUAUAAAGUAUACCAAGAGCCCGAUGAGAUUGAAACGACAGUUUCUUAUGCUGAUACCAUAUGAAAGAAUAUGAAAUAAGAGUCAGGCCGGUAUACUAUCGAUAGCACGGAGGCCUCGGUAGCACGGAGGCCUCCGUGCUACCAAGUUGUUUUUAAUGACACGACUUCCAAAUCAACGAUCGGCUUCGUUAGACUUGAUCUACACUAUUGAAAGUAUUUGGAAACUAAAUUUCAUAAUUUUUCGGUAUCAUUUACCUGUCAAACGAGUAGUCUAAAAAUAAACGUGCUAAAAAUAAAAAUCUCACAAACAAUGAUGAUAGGAGACUUGAAUUUAAGAUCAGAGGUACCGAUCUUACUUUAAAUAGCGAAAAGGAUUUUCUAUAAAACUUUCAUUAGACUUGGAUUGUUUUACAUCGUUAAAUUCACAAACGCAUCAUAUCUACCAUUAAAAUUGCCAAUUUUGAGACUUUUUGAUUACUAGCUAAAUGAUGCCGAAAAAUUAUGAAAUUUAGUUUCCAAAUACUUUCAAUAGUGUAGAUCAAGUCUAACGGAGCCGAUCGUCAAUUUGGAAGUCGCAUCAUUGAAAAUAACUUGGUAGCACGGAGACUUCCGUGCUACCGAUAGUAUGCCAGCCUAGCUAGCUCUAUGAAAUAACUAUUAUUUUCCAACAGCUUAAACUAUCAGAGAACUGUGAUUUUAAAAUUUAGUAGCUGCUAGGUGUUAUCAUUUGAGAGCCAAAACUGAUGCCCCUUUCAAAAUAAGAUCUGUGAAUACCAGCUCCUAGAAUUUCGAAAAAAAAUUCCCCCCAAGAAAAAGUCUAUGUUUUGAUGUCUUUGAAUUCAUGAUUUAUUUUGGCAUGUAUAUGCUGAUUUGCAUGAAUUUCAUCUAAAUAUAAACAAAUCUAAUGAUUCAAAGUUUGAUUUGGCAUGAUCUUAGUUUCACAAAAAUUAGAAAUUUUUGUAUGAUAUUAGAGCAAUUGCUAGCCUUUUUAUUUUCCUAAGCAACAAACAAAGUCAAUCUAAUCACCCUUUGUAUAUUCCAAACAACAUUGCCAUCAAAUUCAAUUUGCUUGAGUUCAUUGAAAUGCAAAUUAAUUCACUUUCCUCUCAAUUUGAAAUCAAAUGCAAACCUCAAAUUUGCAAAAACCAACCGAUAAACCAGUUGAUAAGUAUUCGCCAUAUCGCGGGCAUCAGGGAAAGCUCCUAUAAGAGAUUUUACUUUUUUGACCCUUAUAAUUUUUUACUCUCCAUUAUAGCAGAAGCUGCGCAACUAUAUUUUUUAAAAUUAUUGAAUUAUCUUCUAUCCGAUAAUUAAAUCUAAAAAUAGAAAUAGAAGCAGAAACAAAUUAGCUCGGAAUAUACCAUUACAAUAAAAACGGUAUAUAGCGACACUUUUAAAUGUCGGUACAAGUCAAAAAAAAAAUGAUGUUGGCUAAAUUACUAAUACUUUUUAAAAAUGUUGCUAUAUGUGGAUCGCUAUAUGUAGGACCUGCAAAGUGGCACGAUGUCGGACUCUAUCUCGCGAGUCCAAAGUGACCACUCCAUUUGAAGCGCGGAGAUUGGGUGCACCGCAUGGGCUCGCCGGAUUGUGUCCGGGCUCGCCUCCGAGAGCCCGAUGUACUUCACUUUUCCCUCCUCCACCAACUUCUUUAGCUCCCCCAUCUGUUGUAAUAUUUUUUCAUCGAAGAACAGCCCGCAUAGCUUAAAAUCAAUCGAGGAGGGUAAAGUGCAAAAUCAGAUAUACAGAAAGGUAGUUAACUACUCACGGUUUCCUCAAUGGGCACGGUUUGGUCGAUUCGGUGCUGGUAAUAGAGGUCGAUGUAUUCCACACCGAGCCUCUCAAGGCUCGCCUCGCAGCAGGCUCGGACGUACUCCGGCCUACCGUUGAUUUGCUGGGUUUGCUUCGUUAGGUCGAACCCUACGACUCCGAACUUCGUCGCCAGUUGCACCUUCUCCCUAGGCAGUUGUUUCAACGCCUACACAAAUUUAUGAAUAUUUCACCACAACACGAUAUAUCUUGUUCUUUCGGAAAAAAAACCCAAAUAUUCAACGUAAUAUUCUAUUAUAAGCAUCUAAUCGCUUGUACUCUUUCAAAAAAUAUUGGUGAAGUACAUUAAUUAUUGGCCCUUUUAGUCUCUAAACUUUUCGCAAAGUACAUGAACAUAAGGUACUACGAAAGUAACUGCGGUAGUGUUACAUAUUAAUCGUUACUGAAAGUUCGAAACGCGAACCUUGCCGACUAAGAUUUCGUUGGUGCGCGGCCCGUAGACGUCGGAGGUGUCGAAGAAGGUGAUGCCGCUCUCGAAGGCCCGCUUGAUGACGGCUAAGCCGGCCUCGUCGUCGACCGGAGAGUUGUAAAAUCCAGAGAGGCCCAUGCACCCAAACCCUAGCUUAGACACCUACUCAUACAUGAUGAACCAAAUAGAAAAGAUAAUUAGUAGGAUUGAUAUACCUAAGUUAAAAAUGUUGAUCAAUUAAUGCAAAUAUUUAAGUAAUUACUAUACCUCUAAUCCCUGGGAGCCUAACUUCACUCUAGGAAUUGCAUACACCUCCACCUUCUCCAUUAUUAGUGCUCUCUACAAUUUUAGCUAGAUAUAUAUUUUAUAUAUAUGUGGGAUUAAUUAUAAGUAGAGGUGUGGUUUUGGGGAGGAGCACUAUAUUUAUAUACAUAUAUAGGAGUGUGCAUGUAAUAAACAAGGAAAUAAAUGCAUGGUGGUGAGCUCAUUGCUUUGCUCAUGAUGCACAUAAAAAAACAAAAGCACAUGCUUGAAAAGGUUUGACUUGGGUAAGGAAAUAAAUGGUGGUGUGCUGAUGGCUUUGCUCAUGAUGCACAUAGAAAAACAAAAGCAAUACAUGCUUGAAAAGGUUAUCGGUAGCACAGAGUACUUCGUUUUAUCAAGUUAUUUUCAAUAAUAUAAUUUCUGAAUUGACGAUUGGCUCAGUUAGACUUGAUCUACCUUUUGAAAGUAUUUAGAAACUAAAUUUCGUAAUUUUUCAACAUCAUUUACUUAUCAAACGGAUCGUCUAAAAAUGAAUGGCUAAAAAUAAAAAUCUCAUAAAAAAUAAUGAUAAACGACUUAAAUUUAAGAUCAGAGUUAUUGAUCUCACUCUAAAUAGUAAAAAAGAUUUUCUAUAAAAUUUUUAUCAGAUUUGGAUUGUUUUAUAUCGUUAAAUUCACAAACGCAUUACAUCGACCAUUAAAAUUGUCAAUUCUGAGACCUUUUGAUCACUAGCCAAAUAAUGUCGAAAAAUUAUGAAAUUUAGUUUUCAAAUACUUUUAAUAGUGUAGAUCAAGUCUAACGGAGCUGAUCGUCGAUUUGAAAGUCGCAUUAUUGAAAUUAAUCUGGUAGCACGAAGCUCUUAUAUGUAUAUAUAGAAUUGAGCUCCUAUGCUUUUAAAAGUACCAAGUCAUUGGUACUUGUAAGUUUUUGGCCUUUGAAUUAAGUAAUAUGCGGUUAGGAUGAUGUGGGCCUCCUAGGGCACCCGAAACAGUUAAAUCGGACAGAACUUUUGGAGCUAAAACCGAGCCUGGCCUGUUCAUCUAAAGUGGGCUCGGGCCCAAAUCAAGUUUAAAAGGUUUAGCCCAAAUUCGCCUGCUAAAAAAAACAGUUUGGCGGUGUUUGGUUUUCAUGAAAUUUUUUUAAAAAAUUGUUUUGGAUUUGGAUUUUAGGGUUCGGGUUCCAGUUUGGGUUUCGGAUUUUUGGUCGGAUUCGGAUUUUGAAUAUAGAUUUUUAAAAUCCGUCGGAUUCGGAUUCGGAUUUUUGAAAAUUCGUCUCGAAUCCGACCGGUUGACAUCCCUACAACUAAGAGAGAUAUAUAAAAUUUAGCACUUUUAUUUGACUCUUUUAAAUGACUUUACAUAAUAUAUAAUAUA